UACGUAGGGGGCAAGCGUUGUCCGGAUUCAUUGGGCGUAAAGAGCGUGUAGGCGGCCAGGUAGGUCGGUUGUGAAAACUGGAGGCUCAACCUUCAGAGGUCGACCGAAACCAUCUGGCUAGAGUCCGGGAGAGAAGAGUGGAAUUCCUGGUGUAGCGGUGAAAUGCGCAGAUAUCAGGAAGAACACCCGUGGCGAAAGCGGCUCUCUGGAACGGUACUGACGCUGAGACGCGAAAGCGUGGGGAGCGAACAGG
rnacentral:rRNA from 1 species